AUGGCACCGCAGAAUGCUCGUCUACAACCCUCUGCACGCUCCCUCCCCAUAGAAGGUGAUGCCAUCUUCCCAGCCACACAAGCGUCGCGGCCAGCACUCACCGCAACACACUGGCCCUCGGGAGUCGGAAACGGCACUGACGACAGGCCGCCGGUACCCGUUCCACCCCCAUUCCCGCCCAUCGCGGCCUUCUGCUCCGACACGUCCCCCUGCACAGAGGGACAUCGCCUUCAGCGAAGAAUCAGUAGCCGCAGGAGGCUUCCUCCCGCGGGCAUAGCCAUCAGCGCCACCGAGGCCCGGAUGGCGGCGAUAACUGGAGGAUUCAGCUCUUGGAGAGAGAGAGAGAGAGCAAACAAUCACUCACCUCUGGCCGCUUACGGGAAGAGGAAGAGCGGUGGCUCCUGGGAGAAUUCAUGCGCACUCGACCUCUCGCGAGAUCUCCAGCCUGAAGAACGUGAUUUGAAGAUAGGCGGAGCGCUAAGAGAAAGGGAAUGUGGGAUAUAUUUGAGAAGAUCUGGAAACGAAUUGCCUUCUUAGGGAGUGUCUCAAAAUUCUCCUUUUUUGAUAUCCAGAACUAAAGUUAUGGAUUUUAAAUAUCAGUCAAUUAAGAACAGGUCUGUAAUUCUAGCACAGGAUCACAUAUUAUUAGGUAUAGAUGAGACACUUAUUCAUCAACAUUUGUUAGAUUUGAUUAUGUGAUCACGUACCCCGAAAAGUGGUAGGUAAAUGGACAAUUAAGAAGAUGUAAAGGAUGGGUCGUAAUUAUGGUAAUCAGAGAAUUCUCUGGAGGGGAAUACCACCCAAUCAGUUCUACGGAAGAGUGCCACUUCUAGAUCUUCCGGUGCAGAAAAAACCCUUGGGCACUAUCUUCCCUUUCUUCCUCACCCAAGUCAUCUAUCUGGUUAUUCCCUCUCCGCCAUUGGUGGUGUUAGCACUUUGGGUCUUCUAUUUCUUUUUUGUUUCGUUUUUCUUUUUAAAAUAAUUUGUUGUCAAAUUGGCUAACAAAAGUGUGUACAGCGUGCUCUUGGUUUUGGGGGUAGAUUCCCGUGGUUCAUCGCUUACAUACAAUAACCAGUACUCAUCCCAGCGAGUGUCCUCCUCAAUGCCCAUCACCCAUUUUCCCCUCUCCCCCAGCAGCCCAUCAACCUUCAGAUUGUUCUCUGUAUUUAAGAGUCUCUUAUGAUCUCCCUCUCUGUUUGUAACUAUUUUUCCCCCUUUCCUUCCCCCAUGGUCUUCUGUUACGUUUCUCAAGUUCCACCUAUGAAUGAAAAUAUAUGAUAUCUGUCUUCCUCUGACUGGGUCUUCUCUUUCAAAGCACUGUCACUCCAGGCAAAUUUGAACUCUAAGUGAAAGAAGUCUGGACAAUGCUCUAAGCACUCUUGGUUUCUUGACCUCAAUUCCAGAGACCUCAGUCGUAGGUCCCUCUCCUGGAGUCCACUUCCAUUGCCAGAUGAUGGAUUCCACAGUCUUUCCUCAGUAGUUCCCAUCCCUCACAUGGCUUCCAGCAGAGGCUGAGAACACCCAAACUAAGGUUUCCACUCCACAUCUCUUGCCUUAACUAGCCCCAAGUAUCAAACAACUUUCCGGACAUAUUUCGCAGCAGGUCUGGGGGUCAAAUACUUGAAACCUAAAGUACCCUUAUCAUUCAAGUUUCCUGGAAUUAUAUCUUGAAGCUUGAUUAGAUUCAGUUCAAUACCAGGGGCAAGAAAACUUCAUAGGUGAUAUUGUGUAGGUGGUAUUUCCCCUUGCAUCCUAUCAGAAUGCACAUAAUGUCAUCUGAUUGUCUCAUUUGUACUGAUGUUAAGAUGGGUAAGUGAGUUCAGGAGUUGUAGCUCUUAUCCCUUCUUUAUAAAGUUCGACAUCAGCUUUUCACCUAAUGGCUUUAGCAGCCGUUGAAAUUAUUUACCUAUAUCCAUUAUUUCCGCUGGAGUUAAAAAUGGUGAUUUUUUUUUCUCCCUAAUUCUAUCAGUGUUUUUUAGCUGGACUUGUGUCAAAAAGAAUUUUCCCUCUUUCAAUUAUUUGAUUAUCUUGAAAUAUAGUUCAUAUAGAAAAGGCAGGAUAAAACUUAAUCUUCCCAUUUAUUUAUGGACUUUCAGAAAAAUGAGCUGGUUUCCUCAAAGGUUUGCCAAAGGUGACUGAUUUGGAUUUUUACAAAUCAGCUUUAUUAAGGUAUACUUGAUGUAUAAUAAAAUUCCCCCAGUUUUUUAGCA
rnacentral:lncRNA from 1 species